rnacentral:lncRNA from 1 species
GUCAAAGGUUAAAGCCAUGGCACCUACACCGCUGGCCUCAUGGCCCAUAUGUCCUAUAGCUGCAAUUAUAAGAGUUGGAUAUAAAAUUUCCACUGCUUCAGUCCUUUCCCAAGGGACUCAACAGUUGAAGGGCACUGCAGCCCCUCUCAUCUUCUGUACAUGUGUGUGCGGAUGCGUAUGUGUGUCUCAGAUUACAGGUGACAGUAAAGAGAAUCUUGAGCUUCGAAAACAAGGAGUCCUAUCUGCUUGUCUUGCUUACUGAUAAAUUGGCCAUGCGUAGCUCCAUGCCUUAUACGUGCAAUCUUCCACAAGGGCUAGGCAAUUUGCAAUGAAGAUGAAGUUUAAGACAUAAAAGGAAGUAAGAUUGAUCUCAUGAAGGCUCCAUUUCACAAACACCUUCGGGCAUUUCCAAUCAACACAGACGGAGUCUCGCUCUUUCGCCCAGGCCGGACUGCAGUGGCGCUGCCUCAGUUCACUGCAAGCUCCGCUUCCCGGAUUCACGCCAUUCUGCUGCCUCAGCCUCCUGAGUAGCUGGGAUUACAGGCGCCAGCCACCGCGCCCGGCUAAUUUUUUGUACUUUUAGUAGAGACAGGAUUUCACCCCGUGUUAGCCAAGAUGGUCUCGGUCUCCUGACCUCGUGAUCUGCCUGCCUCGGCCUCCCAAAGUGGUGGGAUUACAGGCGUAAGCCACCGCGCCCGGCCUGAGCAAUGAAUUUCUUAAUUGCCAAACAUAACACAAUGUUAGUUUUAUCUUUACAUUUGAAAUCUGACUGAUUGCACUAUUGAUGGAGGGCAAACUUUGAAAUUUGGGGGAGUUGCUUAAUCACCAAACACAUGAUCAACCUUUUUAAUGUUCUGUGAAUGCUUGAAAAAAAAAGUUGAUUUGGUGGUUAUUGUAUGCAAUGUUCUAUAAAACUCAAUUUUUUAAAUGUUUAAAUAAUGGUAUUUAUGUUAUAAUAUUUGUAAUAUUUUAUCAAGG